UUUGGGAAAGAGUCAAAUUCCCGGCCGGAAUCGCCUCUCCUAGAAAAGAUUCUCCUCGAAAAUGGCCAGGAGGUCGCUCUGGAAGUUCAUGUCGAUCGUCGCCGCCAUCUGCCAGGGGGGGAAAAACGGGAAAAAUCGGGAAAAAACUCCGGGAAUUCUUCACCCCCCGCCCUUCUCUUUCUUUGGGGAGGAGAUUCCCAGAAUUCCCAGGAAUUUCUGGGGUUUUUUUUUGUAAUUUUUUGGGGGAUUUUUUUGGUGAAUAAUAUGUAAUAUCCAGGUGAAUUUAUCCCAUUUUAUUUUAUGGAUUACCCAGCUGAUUUUAUCCCAUUUUUUUAUGGAAUAUCCAGGUGAUUUUAUCCCAUUUUUUGGGAUGCUUUUCCCAAUUUUUUUAAGGAAUUUCCAGGUGUUUUUAUCCCAUUUUUCCCGGGUGAUUUUUCCCCAUUUUUAUGGAAUUCCCAGGUGAUUUUUCCCCAUUUUUCCCAGGUAAUUUUUCCCCGUUUUUUAUGGAAUUUCAGGAUGAUUUUCCCCAUUUUUCCAGGUGAUUUUCCCCAUUUUUCCCAGGUGAUUUUUCCCCAUUUUUAUGGAAUUUCCAGGUGAUUUUUCCCAUUUUUCCCAGGUGAUUUUUCCCCGUUUUUCCCAGGUGAUUUUUCCCCAUUUUUUAUGGAAUUUCCAGGUGAUUUUUCCCCAUUUUUCCCAGGUGUUUUUUCCCCGUUUUCCCCCGGAAUCACGGGGAUUUAACCCUUUCCUCACCGCUUCCCGGCGCCUCCUCUCCUGCUCCCUCUUCCGGGCCAUCUCCCGCUGCUGGUCCAGCACCGACUGCG
rnacentral:lncRNA from 1 species